UACGAAGGGGGCUAGCGUUGCUCGGAAUCACUGGGCGUAAAGCGCACGUAGGCGGCUUGUUAAGUCAGGGGUGAAAUCCUGGAGCUCAACUCCAGAACUGCCUUUGAUACUGGCGAGCUUGAGUUCGGGAGAGGUGAGUGGAACUGCGAGUGUAGAGGUGAAAUUCGUAGAUAUUCGCAAGAACACCAGUGGCGAAGGCGGCUCACUGGCCCGAUACUGACGCUGAGGCGCGAAAGUGUGGGAGCAA
rnacentral:rRNA from 1 species